AAGAAGAGUAAUCUUUUUUGCAAGGUGAAGUCGUAACAAGGUUUCCGUAGGUGAACCUGCGGAAGGAUCAUU
rnacentral:rRNA from 14 species